rnacentral:rRNA from 1 species
ACUCCUACGGGAGGCAGCAGUUAGGAAUCUUGGACAAUGGGCGCAAGCCUGAUCCAGCCAUGCCGCGUGAGUGAUGAAGGCCUUAGGGUUGUAAAGCUCUUUCAGCGGGGAAGAUAAUGACGGUACCCGCAGAAGAAGCCCCGGCUAACUUCGUGCCAGCAGCCGCGGUAAU